GAUGAACGCUGGCGGCGUGCCUAACACAUGCAAGUCGAACGGAGUUAUAUGAAGUUUUCGGACGGAUUAUAACUUAGUGGCGGACGGGUGAGUAACGCGUGGGUAACCUGCCUCAUACAGGGGGAUAACAGUUGGAAACGGCUGCUAAAACCGCAUAACAUUGCGACGUCGCAUGACGAUGCAAUUAAAUAUUUAUAGGUAUGAGAUGGGCCCGCGUCUGAUUAGCUAGUUGGUGGGGUAAUGGCCUACCAAGGCGACGAUCAGUAGCCGGCUUGAGAAGGUGCCCGGCCACAUUGGGACUGAGACACGGCCCAAACUCCUACGGGAGGCAGCAGUGGGGAAUAUUGCACAAUGGGGGAAACCCUGAUGCAGCGACGCCGCGUGAGUGAAGAAGUAUUUCGGUAUGUAAAGCUCUAUCAGCAGGGAAGAUUAUGACGGUACCUGACUAAGAAGCCCCGGCUAACUACGUGCCAGCAGCCGCCGUAA
rnacentral:rRNA from 1 species